GUUCGGUCCCUAUCCGUCGUGGGCGUAGGAAAUUUGAGAGGAGCUGUCCUUAGUACGAGAGGACCGGGAUGGACAUACCUCUGGUGUACCAGUUGUCGUGCCAACGGCAUAGCUGGGUAGCUAUGUGUGGACGGGAUAAGUGCUGAAAGCAUCUAAGCAUGAAGCCCCCCUCAAGAUGAGAUUUCCCAACUUCGGUUAUAAGAUCCCUCAAAGAUGAUGAGGUUAAUAGGUUCGAGGUGGAAGCAUGGUGACAUGUGGAGCUGACGAAUACUAAUCGAUCGAAGACUUAAUCAAAA
rnacentral:rRNA from 1 species